ACAUGUAUAUUACAUAUUUAACACCUAAAACUUAAAUAUUUCAUAUAUACCACUCAAAUACAAUUUUUACCUCAGAAAUGCCACUCCGUUAACAGCGAGUAUCACUCCGUUUCUAAAAGCCCUAACCUGCGUGCUCCUUCGGCUCUUCCCACCGAACUCCUCUCAUUCUUUCAUUCUUUGCUUUUUGCCACCGGAAGAAAAACGUGAGGAACAGCUACGGUGGAAAUCAGAACUACGGGAAUAAAAAUCCAGAGAAAAUUCACCUAGGUAAAUACGGAUGGAAGAAAUCGUAUGGAGGAACAGCUACGGUGGAAGAGCAAAUACGGAGGAAGAGAAUACCGAGGGAUUUGCUGAAACGAGUUCUACCGCGAAAAAUCAAGGCGGGAACAUGGAUAAAACGGAGUGAUACUCGCUGUUAACGGAGUGACAUUUCUGAGGUAAAAAUUGUGUUUAAGUGGUAUAUAUGAAAUAUUUAAGUUUUAGGUGUUAAA